rnacentral:rRNA from 1 species
UACGUAGGGUGCAAGCGUUGUCCGGAAUUAUUGGGCGUAAAGAGCUCGUAGGCGGUCUGUCGCGUCGGCUGUGAAAAUCCCGGAGCUCAACUCCGGGUCUGCAGUCGAUACGGGCAAACUGGAGUACUGCAGGGGAGACUGGAAUUCCUGGUGUAGCGGUGGAAUGCGCAGAUAUCAGGAAGAACACCCGUGGCGAAGGCGGCUCUCUGGGACGGUACUGACGCUGAGACGCGAAAGCGUGGGGAGCGAACAGG